rnacentral:siRNA from 1 species
AUCAAAGAUUGUUUGUCAAUGCCC